rnacentral:lncRNA from 1 species
UGAGUGGUAGGUCAUGGAUGUUCAUUAGAAUAUUCUCUCUACUUUUGGAUAUGCUUGAAAACGAAAAUAUCUAUAAUAAGAGGCCUUUCAAAAUUGCAUGAAGAUUUAGUAGCUUAAGAAAAUCAUUUGCUGGUAAUCAAAUGGAAGCAUUAUCUAUCCUACAGUGGAAAUCACAGUCCAGCUGCCACCCAGGCUGCAGAUGCCUGUCCCUUGAGGGGAAGCUCUGAGCCACAUCCCUUUCUAGACCAGUCCCCAUUUUACAGAAUUGGCUUUGGCCCAGAGGAAUCAGAGCUAUACUCUGGGUGAAAUGAAAUCCCAUCUCUCUGUUUGCCUUCCUUCCAUAAUGGGCCCAAUAUUUGUGGAAGAAGCCGAGUUGCCCACCCUUCACUGCCAUUUCUGAGCAAGAUUGUUCCCCUGGAAGUCCCUAGCCGGCUAAUCUUUUAUUUGGGGAUUUGUCGCAGUCAUUUCCUGACCAUCCCAUGGCCAUAGGCCAAAACACUAGGAUUAGGUGCCUAGUGAAAAGAAUGUUUCAAGCCCUAGCAAGCAAAAAUUCCUUACUGGAAUUUGCUUCAGGCCUCCUUCCACACUACCAGGCCCUACAAACUUUUACCAGCUUCUCUCCACUCCCUUUGGCCUUGGACAAAAGGGACAUGGGUGGAGUGGGACUCUGGAUCUCAUGGGAAAAGGUUCCAAAGAUUUUCCUUUUUGUUUGUUCUGUCCCAUUGGUCAACUUAGUAAAUUCUAAUUCUGAAUGAAUUAGAAAUUUUGGUUUUCUGCCAACAAACACAGCACCUACCAUGGUGGAAGGGUAUCUCUGUUGGGGGUCGCUCAGCAAUUUUUCCUCUUUCUGGUAACAAAAUCUGCUUUCCUUUGGAGAACCCAUUUGAUAUGGUUGGGUAUGGCUGACUCCACUUCCACUACAGAUGUGGACACACGUGGUAUCCCUGAUGCCAAGUGGUACCUAGAACACAGUAGGUGAGUCGUUAUUAAAUGAUUGGGUGGGUGACAUUUAUGGUUGUUAGUGAAAGAUAUCUUGACUGCAGUGAUUGACUCAUUAGGAUGUAUGUAUCUCAGCAUUUCUCAGCUUUUCUCAUCUUUUUCUCAGAUCUUUUUUAUCUCAGCACACUUUUAUACUUUAUCUACUGUUGGGGACCCCAAAGAACUAUCAUUUAUCGCAGCAAGUCAUCUUUUCUGCUGUACGGAGAAAGCCAGGCUGAGAAUGAAGUCAACAUUGAGGAAAGCAGAGCCAAGAGAUAGAGAAAAAAAACCCCAAACAAAAUGACUCGAACACCCAGAACGUGCCCAAAGUGAGACUUGGCCCAACAUUUUUCAGUUAUGUGAGCCAGCAAUUUCCCUUGUCAUCUAAAAGAUGGUUUAAAUUGGACUUUUGUUGGAGUUGUUGUUUAGUGCAGCAUAACAGGCUGCCUAGUCAUGAAGACUUGCUCUGCUCAUAUCCCAAGACUGAAUGAUCAUUAACAAGGGGUCCAUAUGGCUGUGGAACUUACUGUUCAGCAGUCUUUAGAACCUCUGAUAUGAGCUAACUGCCAUCAGAAAUUUGUGAGACAUAAUAUUUAUGAGACAUAAUGGUCCAGAAAAAAGACUUUCAGUAGUGGUUAGACUAUAUCCCAGAGACAUUUCAAGAAUGGAUAGGCUCAGGGACAUGAUGAUGCUAAGCUAUAUGAGAUUUCACAAGGCCUCACAUUAAGAGUUGCUUUUGGACUUAAGGUGCAAAGAUGGAAGCUUCUGAGCAGAACUGCCUCAAUUUCCUAGAACACGCUUGACAGUGGCUGGAAUCCAUGCAGCAGUCAUGAUCACAUCUAUGACCCAACAAAGGCUGCUUUGCUUUCAUAUUCUAACUGAAAGAACCAUGACAAUGUGCUCUUUUCCAGACAGUAACAGAAUGAGUCUUGCAGCCUCAAAAGUCUCCAAAGUGAGUUGUAUGGAAUAACAUAAAGAAUUAAUAAGAAGUUUUGAAUUUCCUCACUACUCAAAAGACCCACAUGAUUUCUUGCAGUCGGUGAAUCUAAUUAGAAGUGAGAAAAACAGAGAGGUAAGUCUACCAGUAGAACUGGCCAAAAAAACUCAAGCAAGAGAUCUGGGGGUGGACCUGGGAAGCCAGAAGUGAUGGAGGUGUGAUCCACAGCCUUUAAAGUUGGGCCUCAGAGGCAGAGACUGCAAAUUCUCCUCAACCUUCUCCCUUACUAAUAAAACUCCUGGUUUUUAGCUGGGCUCAUGACCAUUCAAAAUAAAGACUACAAUUCCCCGCCUCUCUUGCAACUGGAGAUGUCAUGUGACUAGGUACUAGUCAAUGAACGUAAGUAAGAUUUUCUGUUUAGCUUCCAGAACGUGCUCUUAAAGGGAGGGGAUGUGCUCUUUUCCUCCUUCCUGCUGGCUGGAAUUUAGAUGUAAUGCUGAGAACUUAAGCAGCCAUUUUAUACCAUGAAUUGGACCAGUAAGGAUGGUAAAGCAGAAAGAAAAUGGAGCCGGGGUUCCUGAUGACCAUGGAGCUGUUGCACUAACCCUUGACUGCAUACCUCUGGCCUUGUAUAUGAGAGAAAAAUUAACUUCCAUCUCUUUUAACCACUGGAAUUACUGACAGUUUUUAGUUUUCUGGACUAUGCAGUCAAACUUAAUCUGAUCUGAUAAAACACUCAACAGACAAAUUCUCUGCAAGUGAAAAUUAGCAAAUCCUCAGACCCAGUUAGGAGACCCUCCAAAACUCCGCCUCAGGUCUGGGACGUACAACAUUCCAUACCGUGUUUCAGUGGGGAGGAGACGGUCAUUCAGCCCAUUGCCUUUUGCCCCAGGGUUGGUGAGAGAGAGUCUGAAAAGAUGGGGACAGGAGUUAUCUUGCUUUCUUUGGCUGUGGCAUCAAGUAGCUUUGAGUGGCUGCUUGCUCUCAGAUUUUUCUUCCCAUCCAAAUACUCUAAUCUUGCAAGGGAGGCAGUUAAAUGCUACAACUUACGUGUUUGCACGCUUGCUCUUCGGGAAUCUGCUUUUCCCAGUCUCAGCGUUUGUAAGAAGAGACUCCAGUGCUUAUCAGCAUCUCCAGGGGCCUCCGAGAGGGACUGGACGCACACCUAAUAAGAGAAGGAAAGGAGAGGAGGGAGACAUAGCCCAGAGCUUCCCGAACCAGAGUGUGUAUCGGAAUCCCCUGGUGGACUUCUUAAAACAGGAGAAGCCAUGCGGGACUUCUGCAUUCAUCUUACACCAAAAGAAGUCCCCAUUUCCAGGAACAUUUUGGAGUAGAUCUUGAGAAAAACCACUCCUUUUGUGAACCGUAAUGUGAUGGAUAAAAUUUUUGAAGCAUCUCUUUAAAUGCCUGGUUGACCUGGUGAGAAACUAAUGGAAUUAUCUGGAGGUCAAAAAUGGCAAAUCCAGUGAGGCAAGUGGGAAUUUGAGUUGGUAUUUACCCCUGGGUGUGUGCUAGCCCCUACUCACCUGGAGAUUCCAUUUAAAUGGGCCAUGCACAUGUGGACUGGAAACAAAGUCUCGAACAACCCAGGGAAGUUACAUGUUUAAUUGUGUCCCCCUAAAUUCUUAUGUUGCAGUCCUAACCCCUAUGACACCAGAAUGUAACUUUAUUUGGAAAUAGGGUCAUUGCAGAUGUAAUUAGUUAAGUUUUAAGAUGAGCUCAUUAGGGUGAACCCUACUCCAAUAUGACUGGUGUUCUUGUGAAAAAGGAGAAAUUUGGACACAGACAUGCACACAAGGGAGGAUGCCAAAUGAAGAUGAAGGCAGAGAUCAGGGUGAUGCUUCCACAAGCCCAGAAAUGCCAAAGGUUGCCAGGAAACCCCCAGAAGCUAGGGGAGAAGCGUGGAACAGAUUCUCCCUCACAGCCCUCAGAAGGAACCAACCCUGCAAUGCCUUGAUUUGGGACUUGCAGCCUCCAGAAUUGUGGGAGAACACAUUUCUGAUAUUUAAGCCACCCAGUCUGUGGGAUUUGUUAUGGCAGCCCUAGUAAACUAAUACGGGGGGUCGCGCAAUUGGAUUGGAUGCCCCCACCCAAAGUGUGGCCUGCUCAGUAGGCAAAUGAAAGGGAGAAAACACCCACAGAGGAACCAGUCAAGACGCAGGCACCACAAGCCUGACUUGACACUACUCCUGGGAUGGGACAUACUCUGAGAUGAAAGUUUUGUUUGAAAUGACCCCAGGUUGAUAGUGUUCCCAUGCGCCUGGCAGAAGCAAAUGAAAAUUCCUCUCGAUGAACAUACUUUGAACCCAGACCUCAAAGAAAAAUCCCAUGGAUAACUUUCCAAGAAACAUGAACCCCUGGUCAAAAAUCAUUAAACACACAAAGAAACAGGAGUGAGGGUUGAUGGAAACAAAAAAGUGCUGAAAGAGAACUGCAAAGAACACAGAUAUGGACAUUUUAGAUGCAAAAUAUAAAAUAAGUAAUUUAAUAUGAGUUAAGAAAAAGGCACCGAAAAUAGGAGGGAGAAAAUGAGACUAUCAAAUUUGAUCAGGGAUAUUUGGAAAAGAACCCAAAAAAACUUCAACAAAUAUAUAAUUAUUUUAAAAGUGAAAUGGAUGGGGAGGGCCGGCCCGGUUGCCUACUGGUUAAGUUUAGUGCUCUCCGCUUCAGUGGCCCGGGUUUGGUUCCCAAGUGUGGACCUACAACACAUGUUGGUGGCAAUGGUGUGGUGGCAACUCACAUACAAAAUAGAAGGAGAUUGGCACAGAUGGUAGCUCAGGGACAAUUUUCCUCAAACAAAAAAGAGGAAGAUUGGCAACAGAUGUUAGCUCAGCCAAACUUCCUCAGGAAAAAAAAAUGAAAUGGAUGGUUUAAACAGGUAGGAUACAGCAGAUCUGACAAACUGGAGGAGAGAUCUGAGGAAGUUAUGCAGAAUGUAGACAAAAAGACAAAGAUGUGGAAAAUGGGAAGGAAGAGACAUAUGGAGCAAUAUGACAAGAACUAAAAUACGAUUAAUUGGAAUUCUAGAUGGAAGUGUUAGAAAGAAAGUAACAGGGCAAUAGUUGAAGAGCAAAUGGCUGAAAAAUUUUCUUAACUUGUUGAAAGACACUGUUUCUCAGAUUUAGGAAGCCAAGUGAAAUGCAGUUAAAUAGAGAAGAAACCCACCCAUACACUCACCAUAGUAAAACUGGAAUGCCAGGAGUUCCAAAGAUACAAGUAUGGGAAAGACUAGACAAAACUACCCCUAUUUGCAGGAUAUAGAAUAAUCUAUUUAAAAAACCCAAAAGAUCAUAACAAAUAAGACUUUUUUUUUUAACAAGGAAUGUAUUUUAUUUGUUUAUUUAUUUAUUUUUUGAGGAAGAAUAUCCCUGAGCUAACAUCUGCUGCCAAUCCUCCUCUUUUUGCUGAGGAAGACUGGCCCUGAGCUCACAUCUGUGCCCAUCUUCCUAUAUUUUAUAUGUGGGACCCGUGUCACAGCAUGGUUUGAUGAGCGGCAUGUAGGUCCACACCUAGGAUCCAAACCGGCGAACCCCAGGCCACCAAAGCAGAGGGCAUGAACUGAAUCGCUGCACCAUUGGGCUGGCCCCUGUUUGAUGAACAUGAGAUGCUCAGACUCACUAAGAAUAAAAGAAAUGCUAAUUUUUUUAAUUGAGAUAAUCUCAACCAAAAGAAUGCCAAUGAUUAAAAGUCAUAAUAACAGAAGUUGAUAAAGAUAAUGGAAAAGGCAGGUGUUGCUGGUAAGUAUAUACAUUCUGGAAGAGCAGUUUGGCUCUUUUAAUAGUUUAAUGUGCAUUCCUACUACCUGGCAUUUCCAUGUCCUAGUAUCUAUCCUCUAGAACCUUGCACGCAUGCACUAAGAGGUAUGUACAGGGAUUUUUAAUUUGGCAUUGUUUACAGUAGGAACAAAAAGCCAGAGGGGCCAACCGGUGGUGUAGUGGUUAAGUUCGUGCACACCACUUUGGCAGCCUGAGGUUUGCAAGUUCAGAUCCUGGGUGCAGACAUACACACCACUGAUCAAGCCAUGCUGUGGAGGCAUCUCACCUACAAAAUGAAGGAAGACUGGCACAGAUGUUAGCUCAGGGCCAAACUUCCUCACACACAAAAAAACCGGAAAGAAACCAAAUGUCCAUUAAUAGGAAAACAAUUGUGUAAACUAUGAUAUAUCCAUUCUAUAGAAUACUUAAAAAAAAAAUACUGAGGCGGAUCUGUAUACUCUGACAUGGAAAGCACUCUAAAUUAUAUUAAGUUGGGGCAGACAGGGAGAAAGCAAUUUGGACACUUUGCAUUGUUUACGUAAAGAUACACAUAAUACAAUUACCUAUUUUCAAAAGAGGAAAGCAAAUACAUAGAAAAAUUCUCAACGGAUACACACCGUCUGCAUCUGGGGACUGUACUUGGAAAGUAUGGAGGGCAAAGUUGGAGAUGUGAGUCAAAUGAUUUAUCUGUAAUUUUUUCAUUUGUCUAAGGAGAACAUAUACAUGAGUUAAUGUGAAAUUUAUCUUUUUAUUUGUUUCAAGCAACUGCAAAGUAUGAAAACCCAUUCUUUACAAAAAGCUGAAUUACAGAUUUAUUCUUCUCUGCAACAAAACACUUUGCAGUGGAACCUAUUUCAGUCGUGAGCUUCUUUUCCAAAUUGUUCACUUUACCUAGAUUUUAUUCACACAUCUUUUCUCAUCACUCUGUGCUGCGUAAAGCAAAGCACAGCUGCUCUGUGGAAAUGGUGAGAGUGACAGUGAAUCCAGAAUUAUUGUAGUGGUGUUCUCCUUAUUUACAGGUGUGGUAUUAUUCUAUCUCUCUUUUUUCCCCUUCAACUCGCCGUUUGUUAGAGCCAAGCUUCAGAACCAGAAUUCUGCCGUUCAGUGACUUUGGGACCUCACAUAAGUUACCCAAUGUCCCUAAGUUUCAGGUUCCCCAUUUCUAAAACUCAGGAUAACACCUACUUCAAAGGCUGGCUGUAUGAAAUAAGACAUUCAAAGUGAAACGAAUUAACAUAGUGCCUGAUCGACAGCGUUAGCUUUCCCUACUGAGUGGAAGGCUUCAAAAGUCAAGGGUGCCACCUAACAAUUGUGUGAACUUGAGCAAAGUAAUUCAGCCUCUCUGAGUCUCAGUUUUCUCCUCUGUGAAAUGGGUAGAACAACAUUUUCCUUGUAUGGAUUUCUCUGAAUCGUAAACAUAGUGAACAGCAAGCCCAAUACAGGGACCAUGAUGGUUGUCAUGUCAGUGUUUGUUCCUCUCCCUCUCCCCCUCUUCCCUUCCCGUGGUCUUCUGCAUUUCCCAGUUGACUCGGCAGAUGGAGCAGUUGAAUCGCAUGGUGAGCCUCAGCACAGCUGGCCUGAGUCACAUCCCCACAAAGCAGCUGCCCUGUGCUGCUUUCACUGGGGACAAACCUACACUCCUUCUCGAAUGUUUGGCAGUCGAGGGCAGCGGUCCUGGAAGGAGGUGGCAACAGCAGUGUUGCAAUACAGUCUGAGAUUUCACUAAACACUGAGCCACCUGGAGGCCCCCAUAAAUGCAAAGUCUGUCAUUUUUCAUGCCUAAGGCAGUCAAGCCAAGUAUCUAUUGCUUUUCGGCAGGCUCUUUGGCACACUUCAGAGGCACUACUUUAGGGCCAACUUCUCAUCAAAUUAAUAUUCUGUCUGUAGGGAAGACUUUGUUAACUAACUGAGUUUAAUGAAGAUUUUUUUCACUUUUGGAAAAAAGAAUAUGUUGGUUCUCCUUUUUUGGUCUGCUUGGAUGAAGGGAAGUUGAUGUUCUAGGUUGAAUGCAAGACUGGAAUAGGAUAUUCAGAGGCAGCUUCUUAUAUGGGACCACCUUUCCUAUGCCAGUCCUCAGAGGUUUAUGAGCUUACAUCCAGCACCUGACUUUCCAAGAUCCGACAAUCUCCUGGUCUGCCCUGCUCCGAGAAGCCGGGUUAACACUGGACCAACAUAAUGAGUGGAUGACUGAGGUCAGAGCAGCUGUGUUACAGCAGCAGAAUGUCCAGCACGUGAGCAGUCAUCACAGCGAGCCAGGGCAGAGCACAUGGCAGUGAUAUCCCAGAGUAAAAUUAAUUUCCGUGUUAUUCCAGCACAGCAGAAUUGCUGGGAGCCACAAGUUCAAUUUGAUCAGCACGUCUCAACCCUAUCAGACCCAGUGCCC